AAUGCCUGCAAAAUAAAACAUGUAUUUCAAUUAGCCUGAAUAAUUAAUUUAAAUGACAAGACUUCUAAAAUCUUAUGUUACCUUUUUAAUGUGCUGUUUCUGGUACUCAUAUUAGUUCCACUAACAACAAAAGUAUUACUUGAUUUUGUAUUACUGUAUUAUGAAGUAUUUACUAUAUAGUCAUCCCUAGGCUUGCAUAUUGAUUCAAAACCAACUGAUGAAAAAGUGAGUGGAUUCAAAACUUGUCUGAAGAAAUGAAGUUUUGCAUGACAAAUUAAGACACCCUUUUUAAUCAUCUAUAUCCUCAGGUUUUACACAGAGUUCUAGGAGCAGUACCUUUAUGUAUUCAAUCCAGUGCUGCAAGAGAACCUGCACUCCACCUCUCACACGACUGAAUAACUGAUACAGAAGAGACAGGUCUUGAAUU